rnacentral:lncRNA from 1 species
AUUUAGUUAAGACAGAGAUUAAGGAACAAUUAUUAACAUGGCUUGUACAAAUGUAUAAUAACAGAAAAAAAUUAAUAUUGUUCACUAUCAGUACUAUUUUGUAUUAUAUCAGCUUAAGUUACAUUAGUUCAACAUAGUAGUACAUCAGGUAUUUAUUAACUAACAAUAAUUAGCAUAUCAUUAUGUUAUUUUUAUAUUUACAAAUUAAAUAAAUUUUUGUUUUAAAAACGUAAGACUGUAAUUAUAAUUUAAUUAUUAUUAUAGGAGUACCUAAUUGGUUGUCCUGAAAGAGUUUUUGGACAUUAUUCAGUUCCUGACUCCAUUAAUAUCAUAUUGCUAUAUUAAAGCAGAUGAAACUUCAUACUACUACCAAAUGUAAUGUUGCCUUACCUUGUUUGAGUUAAGGGUAAUUAUCUAACCUAAACUUGUUGUCUUUAGUAGACUUACACUUAAACAUUAUUUCUCCUAAAACUUCUAACUUAGUGUUUAAUUUUUUUUGUUCAGUAACCUAAUAAACUAAUUUAAAAAUAUUUAUUAUAAAAACAAAACAAUUUAAAAUGUUAUAAUUCUUAUUUUCUACGAUAUGAAAUAAUUUCUUAAAUAAUAUUGAAAGAAAAAAAAAACAUGUACAAAUGUUGUAUUAUUAUUUAUUUUGAUUUAAGAUUUUAAAAUGUGAUUUAUUAUUUUGUUUCAAUUUUAUUAAAAAUAAUAAUUACUUUUUAUUUACUUUUUUAAAGAAGUUUUCCACAUUAAUUGUUUUUUAUAAUUUUAAUUUAGCGAUUACUUUGCAAAUAAGAUAGCUUUGUGUUAAUAGAAAUAUUAUUUCAGAUUGAGCUAAUAAAUGAGAAGACCAGCCAAUUCAUUUAAAGUAGAUCUUUACAUAAAGUAUUCAAAGAUACUAUAAAGAAGACAAGAAAAAUAAUGAAAUAGAAAAGGUACAAAUUUCUGAGUUUAAAAUAUUAUUAGUGCAGAAAAAAAAAACAGAUUUUAUGUUUUAGGGAAAUGGAUAUACAAUUUGCUUAAUAAUAAGAAAAAUGUUUAGUCAAAUGGUUGAAUUUAGCAACAAUUUUAUACAAUUGGGUUUGGCAGAUACCAAGGAGAAAAUUAAAAUAAACACACAAGUUAUAAGAUAAACAGCCUA